CCCUGCCAGAGCUGAUACAGCCAACAGAAGAGAGACUGGCAGUUGUGCAAGAUUUCCUGCAGGACGUCAAGCCGUCGUUAGAGUACGACAUUGUCCCCAUCGUGGACCCCUACGGCCCGACCAUCGUGCGCCCUGAGUACCAGUGUCUGGUGGUUAGCCAGGAGACAGUGAAAGGAUUUCAUAUGGUGAACCAGAAGAGGGAGGAGAAGGGUAUGAGUCCACUUGAAGCCCAUGUGAUAGAACUUGUAGAAGACAAACAUCAUGCUCCAGAAGAAGAGACCAAGAUCAGUUCCUCAUCACUCAGGAAGAGACUUCUGGGAACUUUGUGGGCGGAGCCUAAGCAGAAGUCGGGUCUACCAGACCAGCCAUAUAUAAUAGGU